AUACGGAGGGUGCGAGCGUUACUCGGAGUCACUGGGCGUAAAGCGUCCGUAGGCGGUCGGGUAAGUCGGGUGUGAAAGCCCCGGGCUCAACCUGGGAAGUGCACCCGAUACUGCUCGACUCGAGUGCGGGAGAGGAUGGCGGAAUUCCCGGUGUAGCGGUGAAAGGCGUAGAGGUCGGGAGGAACACCAGUGGCGAAGGCGGCCAUCUGGCCCGCAACUGACGCUGAGGGACGAAAGCGUGGGAAGCAAACAGGAUUAGAAACCCCAGUAGUCC
rnacentral:rRNA from 1 species